rnacentral:lncRNA from 1 species
AGUCAAUUUCCUAAAAAAAAUAUAAUAAUAAUAAUGUGAUGAGUAGAGAAUAUUUUAUAUAUAAUUUUAACAAUUUCGCCUUCUGCGUCGCAUUUGCGAUAAAACUGAUACAUGUCACUGGCGGGAUAUAUGUUAGAGUCAGAGAUUCGAAUCUCUUUAUGAUCAGUUUAAAUUUGAGGUUUAUGUCUUUAGCGUCCAGAAGCUAGCUUCCUGUGCUAAACAUAAAGGUUUAGUUAGGUUUUGGUACCUACAUUUUCGACAGUUUUCAAAGAACGUCGUCAUAUGAACGUUCGAAUUUAAAAAAAAAUUCAUGAUACUUUAUAGUAUCAAAAUAUAUCUUAUCGAUGCAUGGCAUAAGUAUCAGUAUAUAUAUAUACACGUAGCAACUCUUUAAUAUUUGCGGAUACUUUUGCUUACGCU